GCUCCUCAGACCUCGAAUGAGGGUUUUUUUUUCUCCAUUUCUCUUCUUUGUGCUGACAUCUGAGCAUCCAUGGCUACUGAUCUGCUUGUUUUCUUAAUACUUACAGUCUCAAAGCGAUUCAAUUAGAUGGCCUUCGAGUUUGUCCAGAUAUUUCUACCUUUGAUUCUCCCAUUUGUUCCGUUCGUAAGACGCUUGUUGGAUGGCUCUCCUCUCGGCUGACCUGGGAUCAGGGGUUGAUUGUUGGUCUUCAUAUUUCAGUGGCAAGUCACAAUAAAAACUUGGAAUCGGAUAAGGGAUCGGCUCUUUUCGAAUCAAAAGUCUUGCUAUCCUACUACAGUAUAAGAGGAAGAUGAUCUCCUCAAGCACCUUAAUAAGCAUGGCAACAAUGGAUGGUAGGAUCUCUCUAUUGUGUUCCAAGGGUUGAGAUACUUGUUGCCAUGAGCCUUUCUGCAAGAGAUUACUCUCGUCAAAAUCCACAUUGCUUGAAGAUGUUCCUCCUGAGUUGUCUGGGAACUCUUGGAAAGAGAAGCCUUGAGAGUCUGCCAAGCU